rnacentral:rRNA from 1 species
ACUCCUACGGGAGGCAGCAGUGGGGAAUAUUGGACAAUGGGCGCAAGCCUGAUCCAGCCAUGCCGCGUGUGUGAAGAAGGCUUUCGGGUUGUAAAGCACUUUCAGGAGUGAAGAAAAGCGUUGGGUGAAUAAUCUGACGUCUUGACGUUAGCUCCAGAAGAAGCACCGGCUAACUCCGUGCCAGCAGCCGCGGUAAUACGGAGGGUGCGAACGUUAAUCGGAAUUACUGGGCGUAAAGCGCGUGUAGGCGGUUCGUUAAGUGGGAUGUGAAAGCCCUGGGCUCAACCUGGGAAUUGCAUUUCAAACUGGCGGACUUGAGUGCAGUAGAGGGAGGUGGAAUUCCAGGUGUAGCGGUGAAAUGCGUAGAUAUCUGGAGGAACAUCGGUGGCGAAGGCGGCCUCCUGGACUGACACUGACGCUGAGACGCGAAAGCGUGGGGAGCAAACAGGAUUAGAAACCCCAGUAGUCC